AGAGGAGGAGUGGGAAAGCAUGGGAGGAGACAGUGAGGACAGAGGAGGAUGGGAAAGGAUGGGAGGAGACAGUGAGGACAGAGGAGGAGUGGGAAAGAGAUAGAGAGGGGAGGGACGAGGCAGUGGGAAGGAGACAGUGAGGGACAAAGGAGGAUGGGAAAGAGAAGAGUAUGGGAAGGAGGACAGAUAGGAGAGGAGAGGAGGAGUGGGAAAGAGAUGGGAGGGAGGAGACAGUGAGGACAGAGGAGGAGUGGGAAAGAGAUGAGAGGGAGGGAGACAGUGACGGACAUAGGGGAGUGGGAAAGAUGGAGGGAGGAGCAGUGGGACAGAGGAGGAGUGGGAAAGAUGGGAGGGAGGGAGACAGAGAGGACAGAGAGGAGUGGGAAAGAGAGGACAGAGGAGGGACUGGGAAAGAGAUGGGAGGGAGACAGUGAGGACAGAGGAGGAAUGGGAAAUAGAUGGGAGGGAGGGAGACAGUUGAGGACAGAGGAGGAGUGGGAAAGAGACGGCGGGAGUGGACAGACAGUGGAGGACAGGAGGAGUGGAAAGAAGAUGGGCAGGGAGACAGUGAGGACAGAGGAGGAGUGGGAAAGAGAUGGGAGGGAGACAGUGAGGACAGAAGAGGAAUGGGAAAGAGAUGGGAGGGAGACUGUGAGGACAGAGGAGGAGUGGGAAGGGAUGGAGGGAGACAGUGAGGACAGGGAGGAUGGGAAAGAGAUGGGAGGGAGACAGUGAGGACAGAGAGGAGUGGGAAAGGGAUGGAGGGACACUGUUGAGGACAGAGGAGGAGUGGGAAAGGGAUGGAGGGAGACGUGAGGACAGAGGGGGAGUGGGAAAGGAUGGAGGAGACCGUGAGGGACAGAGGGGGAGUGGAAAGGGGAUAGAGGGAGACCGUGAGAAGAGGAGGAGUGGGAAAGGGAUAGAGGGAGACCGUGAGGACAGAGAGGAGUGAAGAAAGGAUUAGGGAGACAGUGAGGACAGAGGAGGAGUGGGAAAAGGGAUAGGGGAGACCGUGAGGACAGAGGAGGAGUGGAACAGGAAAGGAGGAAUGGGUAGCGAAAGAGAGGGAGUAGAGUACACUGUCACAAACUAAUAAAUAAUUACUCCUAUAGAGGGCUUAUUAUGAGUUAGUUUUAUAGUAUCAUACUAUUGUGUGACCUAUGUUAUUACUAUAUUAAUUACUGUGUUACUAUGAAAAAAGUCCUGGGAUGUUUCGGCUACCUGCGUCGUUUGAAGGUGACUUGGGCAUGUCAGCGUUGGCACCAUCUGCUCACCCGGCCGGACCCACUGAUGUGGCCCA
rnacentral:lncRNA from 1 species